rnacentral:lncRNA from 1 species
AAAAUUUUAUCGUUAAUAACUAUUAAUGAUAAAAAUUUAUUAUUAAUAAUAAAUUUUUUUCACCACUAACAUUCUCUUUUGUCGUAGUAUUCUUUCUCCCCGCCGCCGUCACCGUUGCCCUUCUACCAAAGAUCUCCUUGCACGCUUCACCGCCCUCCGGAUCAAGAUCCUCGAGGCCAUCAUAAAGUUCUAGAACACCUGGAUGCCUACCGCAUACUCGCCUAUGAGAUCCACGCCAAGGACAACAGCAUCCUCUCCACCAUAAAUAUCCUGAAAUUUGAGUAGGACAAUGGAUGCGCAGGCAAAGACACCACUCACUGUCAAGAGAGGACAGGUCGACCGACAAGAAAGGUCGGACUGGAGCGGCGCGGUGGUGGCGGGCAACGGCGGAUAAAGUGGUAGGGGAGGCGGAGGGACGGGGUUUAGGUUUUGGGCUGGGG